rnacentral:rRNA from 1 species
UGCAGUCGAAGGGGWUCAUGAAGCUUGCUUCAUGAUGAGACUGGCGUACGGGUGCGUAACACGUAAACAAUCUGCCUGCAGAUGGGGGAUAACCCCGGGAAACCGGGGCUAAUACCGCAUAAUGCAGCGGGGCCGCAUGGCCACAGUUGUUAAAGCUCUUCGGGGCGUCUGCAGAUGAGUUUGCGCAGCAUUAGUUAGUUGGUGGGGUAAUGGCCUACCAAGACGAUGAUGCUUAGGGGUUCUGAGAGGAUGAUCCCCCACACUGGCACUGAGACACGGGCCAGACUCCUACGGGAGGCAGCAGUGAGGAAUAUUGCGCAAUGGGCGAAAGCCUGACGCAGCCACGCCGCGUGCCGGAAGAAGGUUCUUGAAUCGUAAACGGCUUUUGUCGGGGAAGAAUGGCCUGGAUUCGUCCGGGUUUGACGGUACCCGUUGAAUAAGCACCGGCUAACUCCGUGCCAGCAGCCGCGGUAAUACGGAGGGUGCAAGCGUUGUCCGGAAUCAUUGGGUGUAAAGGGUGCGUAGGCGGAGUCUUAAGUCUGUGGUGAAAUCUUACCGCUCAACGGUAAACGUGCCAUGGAAACUGGGAUUCUUGAGUGUGACAGAGGCAGGUGGAAUUCGUAGUGUAGCGGUGAAAUGCAUAGAUAUUACGAAGAACACCAGUGGCGAAGGCGGCCUGCUGGGUCACAACUGACGCUGAGGCACGAGAGCGUGGGGAGCGAACAGGAUUAGAUACCCUGGUAGUCCACGCUGUAAACGAUGUAUGCUAGGUGUUGGUCACGGUUCGGCCGUGAUCAGUGCUGCAGCUAACGCAUUAAGCAUACCACCUGGGGAGUACGUUCGCAAGAAUGAAACUCAAAGGAAUUGACGGGGGCCCGCACAAGCGGUGGAGCAUGUGGCUUAAUUCGAUGCAACGCGAAGAACCUUACCUGAGCUUGACAUCCCUCUGACCGGUCGGUAAAGCGACCUUUCCUUCGGGACAGAGGAGACAGGUGGUGCAUGGUUGUCGUCAGCUCGUGUCGUGAGAUGUUGGGUUAAGUCCCGCAACGAGCGCAACCCCUGUCAUUAGUUGCCAGCAAGUAAGGUUGGGCACUCUAAUGAGACUGCCGGUGACAAACCGGAGGAAGGUGGGGAUGACGUCAAAUCAUCAUGCCCCUUAUGUUCAGGGCUACACACGUGCUACAAUGGCCGAUACAAAGGGCAGCGAAGGAGCAAUCCGGAGCGAACCCCAUAAAGUCGGUCCCAGUUCGGAUUGAGGGCUGCAACUCGCCCCCAUGAAGUUGGAGUUGCUAGUAAUCGCGAAUCAGCAUGUCGCGGUGAAUGCGUUCCCGGGUCUUGUACACACCGCCCGUCACACCACGGAAGUCGGAAGCACCCGAAGCCAGCUACCGAACCUCGGAAGGAGCUGUCG